UCUUAAUGAAUGGCAUCAUAGCUGGGUA
rnacentral:piRNA from 1 species